rnacentral:rRNA from 1 species
GACGUAGGGUGCAAGCGUUAUCCGGAAUCAUUGGGCGUAAAGGGUGCGUAGGCGGUAAGUUAAGUCUACUGUGAAAGACAAUGGCUCAACCAUUGAAACGCAGUGGAAACUGAUUUACUAGAGUAUAGUAGAGGUAAGUGGAAUUUCAUGUGGAGCGGUGGAAUGCGUAGAUAUAUGAAGGAACACCAAUGGCGAAGGCAGCUUACUGGGCUAUUACUGACGCUGAGGCACGAAAGCACGGGGAGCAAAUAGG